rnacentral:lncRNA from 1 species
UCAUAAUUUAUAUCAAGACUAUUUUUCACACAUAAAUGAAUCAUUUUGUCUCCCUGAUCCCAUAUCAUUCGGGUUGAUAUUCAAAUGGUAGUAAUUUACUAUGCUAUUCUGAAGCCUCAUAGAACUAUUCGGCAUCAAACUAUUAAAUUAGAUACACCUAAAUAUGCUGCAGCAUUAUAAACCAGCUUUUCCCCUUCACCCAACUUUCUCUUGCCAUAGUGACCUGAUGUUUCAAAUUUGAAUUUUAAUUAGUGUCACAAAAUAGUGAAUACAGUGUAUACACGCACGGAUAAUGCUAAUUGCUAUGACAAGUUUUUUUUUUUUAGUUUUUAAUUUGCAAGCAUAAAAUAAAUCAAAGAAAACCAACAAAAUGUGAAAAUGUAAAAAAAAAAUGGUGUUUUUCCUUGAGGUCCACAGAAUAAAUGUGAAGCAACAAUCAACCAACCAUGCAGAUAAGGCUGAGAGAUAAGCCACAUUUUAUGCUCACACACUCACUCCACACUCCAUCCAUCACAAAACUUUCCCCCACACUAAAAACAAAUUUAUAUAUAUACAUCCCUUUCCCACACUUUUUCCACCCUCAAACACGUAACUACUAUUUCGAACUCCGCCAUGGCUGCCACCACCGCCACCGCCACGUCAUACUUUUUUGGCACCCGCCUCAACAACCCGACAACCUUAAACAACGGAAGAUUCCACGCGCUCCUCAACUUCGGCAAAAAGAAGGCGGCGGCGCCGCCACCGAAGAAAAAGGAAGUGAAAGUGAAACCCUCCGGCGACCGGCUGGUGUGGUUUCCUAAUGCGGAGCCGCCGGAGUGGCUCGACGGAAGCAUGAUCGGCGACCGCGGGUUCGACCCGUUCGGUUUCGCGAAGCCCGCGGAGUACCUGCAGUUCGACCUGGACUCGCUGGACCAGAACCUCGCGAAGAACGUCGCCGGCGAUGUGAUCGGAACCAGGGUGGAGGUCGCCGACGUUAAACCAACGCCGUUUCAGCCCUACUCGGAGGUUUUCGGGAUUCAGAGGUUCCGCGAGUGCGAACUCAUUCAUGGAAGGUGGGCAAUGCUGGGUGCUCUCGGUGCUUUGGUCGUUGAGGCUCUCACCGGAGUCGCGUGGCAAGACGCCGGAAAGGUAACGUUUUACUGUCUCUUGCCUUUAACUGAUUCUGCUUUCGAAUACCCUUUUGCUCUGUUCUUUUGGGUUUCGCCGUUUUUUAGAGACCAUGCAUUGUUUUCAAUUCGGCAAUUUAUCGAACACUUGUUGUGAAUUGUGAUUAUUGUUCAUUAGCGUGGUUUUACGCUUUUAUUAGUUUGAUUCUCCUUUCGUUAACGACACAGUGAUCGGAUAUCUGCGUGUGGAAACUUGGAUGCUGAACUUUAGUGACGGGACAAUAGGAUUUGCAUGGCGAUGUUGAUUUUUUUAUUUUUUAUUUUGUGAGAUGGUGGUGUUUUGUUGUGUUGUGUAAAUGAGUUAUGGACAACGUAAGAUGGUCCCCCAUGUCAGUGACGGUAACAGUAACAUACCUUGGACGUGUCUUAUUGUUAUCCACUGGAUUGCAUAUAGUGCGACCAGAUAUUUACAAUAAAUUAAUAUAAUAUAUUUUUUACAAAUUUAAAUUUAAUACUUUAACAAGUUGUAAAAAUAAUUACAAUCUCAUCUUCGUCUUUUGGUAGACGGUGCUUCUGUGGUAGACAGUGCUUCAGUCUUGGGUUUCAAAGAGUAUUUAUGAAAAUAAUUAUGUUUAUCUCAUUCUAAAGAAAUGAAUAGAGACUCAAAACAUGUAACCUAUCAAAUACAAGACUUAUUCCACUUAUCAACUCCUUGGGAUUUCUUGUUUUCUUUUUAUAUGCAUAUGAUUGCAAAAGGUUAUCCGAUUAGCACUCGAGGUAGGUUUGGCACUUAACAUUUGUAGGUAAAUUUGUCUCCUUCCAUUCAAGUUUUCUUCAUAUAUAAGAGUUCACAGUUUGAAUCCUUGAUUACUUAUUUAAGGGACUUAAGCUCAACAUUCUUUCUAUGAAUACAAUUUAAGAGAAUAAAUUGAUUAUUUACUUUAAAAUUAUUCAUUUUAUAAUAAUUAUUUUAAAACUUUCAUUUAUAUUAUUUUUAAUGAAUUAAAAAAAAUAAAUUUAUAAUAAAAUAAAUAAAUUUUAUUUUUAUAGCAUUUAUUUCUUUUCACCACAUGAACUAUUUUAUCUCACACAUUUUUAUAUCUUUUUUAUAAUAAAAAAAAUUGUACUAAUAUAAUUUAUGUAGUGCGAUUAUAUGGCUGCCUGAAGAUGAUGAUUACCGUUGUGGCCAAGAACGAUGAAAACAAAGUCCACAUUAUUAUUUGGUUUGUCGCGUAUAAUACCUUUUUGUAGGGUUUCCCUCAUUCCCUAAAUGAACAAAAUGGCAUACAAGUCUUAGACAAGUAUACAUUCAGAAUGGAUUUUGUGUGAACAAUAUUAACCACUCAAAUAUUGAAGGUAGACGAUUAUUCUUUUAAAAUUGGUUCCAUAUUGCAUUCAGUGAGAAAGACACAUAAAAAUAGGUCCCAUGAUUAUACAAACGAUCAUCUAUAGUAAGAGUUUGUUUAUUUUUAUCAUAAUUAUUUUUAAAAUCAUAUUAACUAUAAUUUCUAAUUGAUGAAAAAUGCUGAGAAAUACAUAAUCAUAAAACUCAAAUAAACAAUACAAAACAUGUAAGUUUAUUCUAGUGGUCAGUAAUAAUAAUAAUGAUAAUAUAAAACAGUUUUACAUUAUAAUUAAUCGAAAUAACCGUUGAUAUAAUUUUUUAUGUGGUCAUGGUAAAAAUCAACCACCUCUAAUUGUUUUGAUCCUUUAACUCUAAUUUUCAGGUAGAGCUGGUGGAAGGAUCAUCUUACCUGGGGCUUCCUCUUCCAUUUUCA